CUGAUGUUGGCUUAAACUUCCAUACAGCGCCCCCUGGAGGAUGACAAGCUCAUUGUGUUUACGACAGUGGAGAGCGCGUUUGCAGCAGCAGUUUCAGUGAGAGCGCGAAAACAAUCCGAAGAGAGGAGAGAACAAAUACUACAAAAGGUCUGAUGGAAGUGAAAGAGGAAAAUCAAGAACUGAAUGAAGUGGAGGUGACACAACAGCAACCUUGUUAUUUCAUAAUUGGAGAAAUAAAAUCACUUAGUUGCUCGCAGACUAAAAAGAAUAGAGCUCAAAGAACAGAAGACAAAAACAACUGCCUUCAGUGUGGGAAAUGUUUCACACAUAAAAAAAGCCUAAAGGAUCACCUAAAUAUUCACACUGGAGAGAAACCUUACACUUGUCACCGGUGUCAGAAAACGUUCAUGCGUAAAUCCAGCCUUAAGAACCACAUAAAUGUUCACCUUGAAGAGAAACUGUUCACCUGCCCUCAGUGUGGAAAGAGUUUCACACGGAAAGACUGCUUUAGGACACACCUAAGAAUUCACACUGGAGAGAAGCCUUUCUCGUGCCCUCAGUGUGGAAAAAGUUUUACACAACAAGAACAUCUCAGUGGUCACAUUAGAACUCACACCGGAGAGAAACCUUACACAUGCCAUCAGUGUGGAAAGAGUUUCACACGGAAAGACACUCUUAAUAACCACAUGCGAAUUCACAGUAGAAAAAGAGAAAGAAUGGUAUAAGCAUUUUGAAACGUAUGAAUAACAUCGUGAGCACUCGCAUGAGAUGAGGACUCCAGCCAUAUCAGUAACCGCAUAAAAACGGUUUUAUUCUACAUAGAGAGGGUCCCCUCAUGGGGGCUGCCAUGUUAGGAUCACAUGACCUGCUUCAUCUCAGUGACCACCUUGUUAUUGGACACUUUCACUCGUGGAUUAAAUUAAUCAUGGCUGACUGUGAAUAGUAAAUUUCCACAAUGGCAUUGUGGCCACUAGAGAUCUGGUGCUCUGGGAUUCUGUACCUCACAGCGUUCACAAUUCACACCUUUAUUGAAGCCACUCCCUCAACAAUUCACCAAUAAAUACUGUGAAUACUCCCAUCAUCCUACAAGAGAAGAAGUGCUUCAGACCAGCGGGAAGAUCUCCAGGUGCAGCAGCUGACAUCUGUGUGAUGUACUGUGGAAAAGAUGGAGUUUGUUAAAGAAGAGAGAGAGGACAUGAGUGAUCCAGAAUCAUCUAGAAUAAAACAUGAAGAUACUGAGGAACAAAUAGACUCGGUGGAAGUGAAAAAGGAAAUUCAAGAACUGAAUGAAGUUGGGAAGAAACAGCUUCAGAAGCCUCAAACAACAGAGGACAAAAACGCUUUCACCUGCUCUCAAUGUGGACAGAAUUUUAUAAAGAAAAGCAACCUUAAGAGACACUUAAGAAUUCACACUGGAGAGAAGCCUUACACAUGCACGCAGUGUGGAAACAGUUUUAGACAUAAACAAACUCUGAAGAUCCACACACAAACUCACACUGGAGAAAAGCCGUUUACGUGCCCCGAGUGUGGCAAGAGUUUUAAAUGUGCAAAUAAUCUCAAAAGACAUCUUCUCUCUCACUCUGGUCUGAAGCCUUUUCACUGUGAACAGUGUAGUGAAAGUUUUCCUUCUGCAUCACUUCUAAAAACCCACCUGAAUGUUCACGUGAGGCCAUACGUGUGUUCAUGUGGAAAGAGUUUUUCACGGCUGCACUGUUUGAAAGAUCAUCAGAAAAGACAUGCUGGUGUUAAAGAUCACGUGUGCUCUGAGUGUGGGAAGGGCUUCAUUACAACCUACCAGUUGAAAAGCCACCAGAGAAUUCAUACGGGAGAGAAACCUUACAAGUGCUCACAUUGUGAUGAGACUUUCAGUAAUCAGGGAAACCUGAAAAGACAUGAGAGAGUUCAUACUGGAGAGAAACCGUACCACUGCCUUCAAUGUGGAAGGAGUUUUACCCAAUCAAAUACUCUAGUGGAUCAUAUGAAAAAUAGGUGUCCAGUGAGCAAAGGCCCUAUUAAAUAAUAAGUGCGUUUACAUGCACUUUUUCAUGAUGUUGAUUUCUGCACUAAUAUAAUUGUAACGAAUGUUGUUGACAGUGAGAUAUUCAGAGUGAAAGUAAACAAGGCCAGUUAUUAAAACUCUAAAUGCACACAGGAUGGAAGCAUUCAUGAGGAUUUCUGUAUGAUAAAAACACUUAUAAAUGUUAUCUGUGUAUUCAUGGCUCCGUUGCCGUGACAACAAAACCCACCCUGCCUGGUACUGGAUAUAACUUCAAACAGUUAUGAUUAGAAAGUGAUUUGAUCUCACUAAAAUCAUCUUGUAGCAGUUUAUGAACUGGACUCAUUUACAUCCAUUGUAGGUGCCUUCAAGCACAAUUUUUGCAUUUGCUUAAAUUAUUUUGCUUGUGGAAAUCAACAUUAUGCCUCAAAUCAUUUUAAUUCAACUUCACUUGUAUGGAACCUGGAAUUCCUUUAAAAAUAAACAAACAACAUAUAAAGAAAUGACUGGUAAAAUGUAUUUAUUAGUGUAGAAAUAUAAAUUCAGCAACUCAUCUUUUAACUCUGUGUCUUUGGGCCUCCAUGCUACACAGCCAUGACAAUUCACACCUUCACUGAAGCCACUCCCACAAUAAUUCACCAAUAAAUACUGUGAAUACUCCCAUCAUCCUACAAGAGAAGAAGUGCGUCAGACCAGCAGGAAGAACUGCAGGUGCAACAGCUGAAGAUGGUGAAGAUGGAGUUUGUUAAAGAGGAGAAAGAGGACAUGAGUUAUCCAGAGUCAUCCCAAAUAAAACAUGAAGACACUGAGGAACAAAUAGACCUGAUGGAAGUGAAAGUGGAAAGUCUGAAUGAAGUUGGGAAGAAACCGCUUCAGAAACCUCAAACAACUGAGGACGAAGACCUUUUCACCUGCUCUCAAUGUGGAAAGAAUUUGACAUGUAAAAGCAGCCUUAAGAGACACUUAAGACUUCACACUGGAGAGAAACCUUUUCACUGUGAUCAGUGUGGUGCACGUUUUUCUUUAUCGUCAUCUCUAAUAAACCACCAAAAUGUUCAUGCGAUAGAGAGGCCUCACUCAUGUUCACUUUGUGGAAAGAGUUUUUCACGGCUGCAGAGUUUGAAAGUUCAUCAGAAAAGACAUGCCGGUGUUAAAGAUCACGUGUGCUCCGAGUGUGGGAAGGGCUUCGUUACAGCCGGCCAUUUGAAAAGGCACCUGAGAAUUCAUACUGGAGAGAAACCUUACAAGUGCUCACAUUGUGACAAGACUUUCAGUAUAUCAGAACAUCUGAAAUCACACCAGAGAGUGCAUACUGGAGAGAAACCUUUUCAUUGUGAUCAGUGUGGGGCACGUUUUUCUUCAGCACCAACUCUAAGAGACCACAAAAAUGUUCAUGCGAUCAAGAGGCCUUACUCGUGUUCAAUUUGCGGAAAGAGUUUUUCAUGGCUGCAAUAUUUGAAAGUUCACCAGAAAAGACAUACCGUUGUUAAAGAUCACGUGUGCUCGUAUUGUGGGAAGGGCUUCAUUACAGCCAGCAAUUUCAAAACGCACCUGAGAAUUCACACUGGAGAGAAACCUUACAAGUGCUCACAUUGUGACAAGACUUUCAAUGCAUCAGGAAACCUGAAAUUGCAUGAGCGACUUCAUUCUGGAGUAAAACCGUACCACUGCCUUCCAUGUGGAAGGAGUUUUACCCAAUUAGGGACUCUAAAGGAUCAUUCAAAAAAGCGUUGUCCAGUGAGCAAAAGUCAGAAGGAAUAAUGUCUGAGGUAUAUGAAAAAUAGGGAUUAUCUGAUGUAAGAAGUUGGCUAAAAUGACCUGUAGUGUACAUUGAAAUUAUGAUGUGAAAUUCCAGUUUUACUUUCUUGAUAUUUCUCAAACAAGCAGCACCCUUUCUUUGGUUUAAAAACCGGUGAAGAGUUGAUUAUCCAACUAUAAUGACUUGACACGAGACAGCAGAAACAAUGUAUUUCCCUCAUUGUUAUAUGAGACACCAAUUGUUAUAUGUGAUUUAACAAUACAUAUUUUGGGGAAACUGUAACAUGUCAAAUAUGUAACGAUGGAGGUUAAGUGAACUGAAUAAAGUGUG